GUCUAAGCACCGAAUCCCGUGGAGAGCCGUAAUGGCGAGAAGCGGGCGAAUGUGUUAUGGCGAAAGUCAGCUGCACCCGGGAACCCGUGAAAAGGAAGUCAUGGGUCCGUACCGAGAACUGACACAGGUGCCCCUAGCUGAAAAGGCUAAGGCGUGUCGGAACAAUUUGGCUAAGGGAAUUCGGCAAAUUAGCUCCGUAACUUCGGGAGAAGGAGUGCCUGCUGUGAAGACAGCAGGUCGCAGUGACAAGAGAGCUCUAACUGUCUAAUAUCAACAUAGGAGAUCGCAAACCCGUAAGGGCUAGUACGAUCUCUGAAUCCUGCUCAGUGCAGGUACCUGAAACCCCAGUUCAAUGGGACGAAGGGCCUGUAAACAGCGGGGGUAACUAUGACCCUCUUAAGGUAGCGUAGUACCUUGUCGCUUAAUUGGCGACUCGCAUGAAUGGAUCAAUGAGAGCUCUACUGUCCCUAGCCAGAGUCCGGUGAAGCUUACUUUCUAGUGCACAGUCUAGAGACCUCUAGGGGGAAGUGAAGACCCCGUGGAGCUUUACUGCAGCCUGUCGUUGGGUUGUGAUUUUGGAUGUACAGUGUAGGUAGGAGACGUCGAAGUCGGUGCGCCAGCAUCGAUGGAGUCGCCAUUGGGACACUACCCUUCUGAAAUUACGACCCUAACUCCGAGAGGAGGACCCCGAUAGGUGGGCAGUUUGCCUGGGGCGGGACGCCCUUGAAAAGAUAUCAAGGGCGCACAAAGGUUGACUCAAGUGGGUCGGAAACCCACUGAAGAGUGCAAGAGCAUAAGUCAGCCUGACGUUAUUCAGCACAGUAGUGGAUGACGAGACGAAAGUCGGUUCUAGCGAACUUUUGAGCUCGCUUGGUGCGAGCCAAAAAUGACAGAAAAGUUACCCCGGGGAUAAUUGAGUUGUUGCCGGCAAGAGCACAUAUCGACCCGGCAGCUUGCUACUUCGAUGUCGGUUCUUUCCAUCCUGGCCGUGCAGCAGCGGCCAAGGGUGAGGUUGUUCGCCUAUUAAAGGAGAUCGUGAGCUGGGUUUAGACCGUCGUGAGACAGGUCGGUUACUAUCUACUAGAGGUGUCUGUGGUCUGAGGGUAAGCUACUUUUAGUACGAGAGGAACAGAGUAGCGGCGCCACUGGUGUAUCAGUUGUCCGACAGGGCAUCGCUGAGCAGCUACGCGCUAAGGAAUAAGAGCUGAAUGCAUCUAAGCUCGAAAUCUGACUUGAAAAGAGACCACGUUAAGGAUUCCGGUACAAGACCGGUUUGAUAGGGUCGGGAUGUACGCACCAAGGCAACGAGGUGUUGAGUCCGCGGCUACUAAUCAUCCGUGCCUGUCCGUCUUGCUUUGUCCAGGCGAAAUCUGAUAUGUGCAUGUUUAUUAUACACUUUCA
rnacentral:rRNA from 1 species